GACGAACGCUGGCGGCGUGCUUAACACAUGCAAGUCGAACGGAAAGGCCCUGCUUUUGUGGGGUGCUCGAGUGGCGAACGGGUGAGUAACACGUGAGUAACCUGCCCUUGACUUUGGGAUAACUUCAGGAAACUGGGGCUAAUACCGGAUAGGAGCUCCUGCUGCAUGGUGGGGGUUGGAAAGUUUCGGCGGUUGGGGAUGGACUCGCGGCUUAUCAGCUUGUUGGUGGGGUAGUGGCUUACCAAGGCUUUGACGGGUAGCCGGCCUGGGAGGGUGACCGGCGACAUUGGGACUGAGAUACGGCCCAGACUCCUACGGGAGGCAGCAGUGGGGAAUAUUGCACAAUGGGCGGAAGCCUGAUGCAGCAACGCCGCGUGCGGGAUGACGGCCUUCGGGUUGUAAACCGCUUUCGCCUGUGACGAAGCGUGAGUGACGGUAAUGGGUAAAGAAGCACCGGCUAACUACGUG
rnacentral:rRNA from 1 species